rnacentral:snoRNA from 1 species
AAGACUAUACUUUCAGGGAUCAUUUCUAUAGUAUGUUAAAAUAAAUUUAGAGAAAACAUUCAUUAUGAAGUUGUC